CAUAUUUAUAUAAGUCCACUGGAUAAUAUAUGAGAUUACCAGAGAGUAUUGAGCUCAAAGAUAAGAAAGGUUCUCGAGAACAUCACUGCAUAAGGCUGGACAAAUCCUUUCAUGGACUUAGAAUAAAUGGGCGUAUGAAAGAUUAUAAAAGAUCCCAUCAGUCCAUGUAUAUUCAUAAAGAGGUUUGCAAACAAAGGAUUUGUAAUCAUAAGCAGUGUAUAUGAACCUCUGGGUAAUCGACCAAACAGUUGAAAGACCUAGGCAAUAAAUAAGUCAUGUUUGGAAUUACACCUUGA
rnacentral:lncRNA from 1 species